CUUGAAACUCUUGGCAUGUUUUUCAAGGAUCUUUGAACGUUCAGCACACCGUACCUGUGCAAGGUUUCAGUCCAUUGAAUCUUGUGGCAAUGCAGUGUCAGCCACUUGUGAUAAAUGUUUAAAUAUUUCUUGCCAUUUUUUCCUGUAUAUAUCUUGGUAUUUCUGCUUUGUCUUUGAACAAUUUUAACAUCAGCUGUCAAAGUCUUAUUUUUCAGCUUGGAGAAGCCGGACGUGUUAGUAUUAUCGUAUUCGCCAACAUAUAGGCAGUGGGUUGCAACAAGCGUAAGAGGUGGUAAAACACUGUAGUUAAGAGACUCCCAUGGUGCAAUACAGUCUGCUUAGAGAGGUCUUCCUUCUUGAAUCGGGUAUUAUUUUCCAUAUGAGUUAUUGCAAAUCGAUGGUUGUGCAGAAGCAGACUGAGUGCUACCUGUCAAACCAAUCAUGAUUUCAGUUACGUCUUCCUUUUUUGCGAACGUAUUGUUUAAAUUGCUGUGAAAUUUAGCAACACAGAUUGGAGGAUGAUGGGAUGAAUUGGGUAAAUGCGGAUGAGAACCGACUCCUUCAGCCAGAUGAAUUAAGAACAGUGAAAGAGGGUUGUAUUUGUUUUCUUCACGAGUGGUACAGGUGUGAAUCUAGAGGAGGUUGCAGGGGGUUCGCACCCCCCCCCCCCACUCCCUGAGAUGACCAGCGGCCUUCUAAGAUAAGUAGUAUUCUCCAAUAACAAACAAAACACAGCAUGAGACGAGGUUGAAGUCAUUUCUUAUUGAUUCACUCCCUCCUUAGAAGAAUGCUGGAACCGUCCCUGUUGUAAUAACAUGAUAAGAAGCGCUCCUUCUCGAGAUUAUUGGUCUAGUCCCCUCCAUCGAUCAAAGAGUGCUUUCUUACAAAAAUUCGUAUUUGUUUUUGUGUUUGUUUAGCUAUUCAAAGAGAAAUCAACCACUAGGCAAGGCAGCAAAUGAAAGCCACCUGUUUGAUGCGCGCAGCUAAGUCCAUGGCUAAUACCCAGCAUGCAGAGGGAAUGAAAUUUCGAUAUCCUCCAACCCAAUCCUUCAACGGAAAGAGGAUUGAAGAGCAAACGAAGUGACAAGAAUUCUCAUCAACAACUUAAUUUUGCAAUUUACUGUAACUGUAACAUUUUUUUCAGAUAGGAAUAAAAAUUUUUGUCCUUCCUCAACGUAUCCACUUUUUCUUCAAGCUCCAGCUUAAAAACCGAGAUAGUGAACAUCUGAAGUUCAACAGACAUCAAUGGCUUCAACAUUCAUUAU